AGAGUUUGAUCAUGGCUCAGAUUGAACGCUGGCGGCAGGCCUAACACAUGCAAGUCGAGCGGAUGACAGGAGCUUGCUCCUGAAUUCAGCGGCGGACGGGUGAGUAAUGCCUAGGAAUCUGCCUGGUAGUGGGGGACAACGUCUCGAAAGGGACGCUAAUACCGCAUACGUCCUACGGGAGAAAGCAGGGGACCUUCGGGCCUUGCGCUAUCAGAUGAGCCUAGGUCGGAUUAGCUAGUUGGUGAGGUAAUGGCUCACCAAGGCGACGAUCCGUAACUGGUCUGAGAGGAUGAUCAGUCACACUGGAACUGAGACACGGUCCAGACUCCUACGGGAGGCAGCAGUGGGGAAUAUUGGACAAUGGGCGAAAGCCUGAUCCAGCCAUGCCGCGUGUGUGAAGAAGGUCUUCGGAUUGUAAAGCACUUUAAGUUGGGAGGAAGGGCAGUAACUUAAUACGUUGCUGUUUUGACGUUACCGACAGAAUAAGCACCGGCUAACUCUGUGCCAGCAGCCGCGGUAAUACAGAGGGUGCAAGCGUUAAUCGGAAUUACUGGGCGUAAAGCGCGCGUAGGUGGUUUGUUAAGUUGGAUGUGAAAGCCCCGGGCUCAACCUGGGAACUGCAUUCAAAACUGACAAGCUAGAGUAUGGUAGAGGGUGGUGGAAUUUCCUGUAGCGGUGAAAUGCGUAGAUAUAGGAAGGAACACCAGUGGCGAAGGCGACCACCUGGACUGAUACUGACACUGAGGUGCGAAAGCGUGGGGAGCAAACAGGAUUAGAUACCCUAGUAGUCC
rnacentral:rRNA from 1 species